rnacentral:rRNA from 1 species
UACGUAGGGGGCGAGCGUUGUCCGGAUUUAUUGGGCGUAAAGGGCGCGUAGGCGGUUUCUUAAGUUUGAAGUGACAGUGGGUGGCUUAACUACCCAAGGCCUUUGAAAACUGGGGAACUUGAGGACCAGAGAGGGACAUAGAAUUCCGGGUGGAGUGGUGAAAUGCGUAGAUAUCCGGAGGAAUACCAAAGGCGAAGGCAGUGUCCUGGAGGGUGACUGACGCUGAGGCGCGAAAGCUAGGGGAGCGAACAGG